rnacentral:rRNA from 1 species
GAGUGAAGCGGGAUGAGCUCAAGCUUAAAAUCUCCGCGCAAGUUUUGCGCGGCGAAUUGUAGUCUAUAGAGGCGUGGUCAGCGUGGGCGCUUGGGGCAAGUUCCUUGGAAGAGGACAGCAUGGAGGGUGAUACUCCCGUUCAUCCCUGAGUGGCUCGUGCGUACGACCCGUGUUCUUUGAGUCGCGUUGUUUGGGAAUGCAGCGCAAAGUAGGUGGUAAAUUCCAUCUAAAGCUAAAUAUUGGUGCGAGACCGAUAGCGAACAAGUACCGUGAGGGAAAGAUGAAAAGAACUUUGAAAAGAGAGUUAAAGAGUACCUGAAACUGCUGAAAGGGAACCGAAUCGUUUCCAGUGUCUAUAAUCCGUGGCAUAUUUCAUUGGCGAGUGUGCGCGUGCGUGUGCUGUGGCAGCGGCCUUUUUGGGCUGCGCUCGGUGCGUGUGCUGUGUGUGCUUGCUGGUGCCCUGUGCUGCGGUGGGACGUCAAGGUCAGUUCGUAUGCUGCGGGAAAUGGCUGCCGAGGAGGUAGGGCUUACGCUCCGCGUUUGUCUGUUAUAUCUUGGUGGACGAGUCGUCGCGGUUGGGACUGAGGUGCCUACAACGUGCUUUUGAGUGGGUCUGUGUCUCCGUGUGCGCCGUGUGCGGAUAGCUUGCUAUGCGUGUGUGGUUGUGUGUGGAUUGAUGCGGGCCUUAACUUGUCGCCGUUCGGGACGUUGACGAAAUGGAGCGAUCCGACCCGUCUUGAAACACGGACCAAGGAGUCUAACAUGUGUGCAAGUGUUAGGGUGUGGAAACCCCAGCGCGAAAUGAAAGUGAAGGGCAGCGCAAGUUGUCUGAGGUAGGAAACGUUGCGGGCUUCGGUCUGCGGCGUGGCACUAUCGACCGAUCAUGAACCUUCGUGGUGAAAGAUUUGAGUUUGAGCACAUAUGUUGGUACCCGAAAGAUGGUGAACUAUGCCUGAGUAGGGUGAAGCCAGGGGAAACUCUGGUGGAAGCUCGUAGCGAUUCUGACGUGCAAAUCGAUCGUCAAACUUGGGUAUAGGGGCGAAAGACUAAUCGAACCAUCU